rnacentral:misc_RNA from 1 species
GAAAUGCGAUAAGUAAUGUGAAUUGCAGAAUUCAGUGAAUCAUCGAAUCUUUGAACGCACCUUGCGCUCCUUGGUAUUCCUUGGAGCAUGCCUGUUUGAGUAUCAUGAAAUCUUCAAAGUAAAUCUUUUGUUAACUCAAUUGGUUUCUACUUUGGUAUUGGAGGUCUUUGCAGCUUCACACCCGCUCCUCUUUGUUCAUUAGCUGGAUCUCAGUGUUAUGCUUGGUUCCACUCGGCGUGAUAAGUUAUCUAUCGCUGAGGACACUGUAAAAGGUGGCCAAGGUAAAUGCAGAUGAACCGCUUCUAAUAGUCCAUUGACUUGGACAAUACUUUUAUGAUCUGAUCUCAAAUCAGGUAGGACUACCCGCUGAACUUAAGC